rnacentral:rRNA from 1 species
UGCCAGACUCCUACGGGAGGCAGCAGUGGGGAAUAUUGCACAAUGGGCGAAAGCCUGAUGCAGCGACGCCGCGUGAAGGAUGAAGUAUUUCGGUAUGUAAAGCUCUAUCAGCAGGGAAGAAAAAAGACGGUACCUGACUAAGAAGCCCCGACUAACUACGUGCCAGCAGCCGCGGUAAUACGUAGGGGGCAAGCGUUAUCCGGAUUUACUGGGUGUAAAGGGAGCGUAGACGGCAUAGCAAGUCUGAAGUGAAAGCCCGUGGCUCAACCGCGGAACUGCAUUUGAAACUGUCAGUCUUGAGUACCGGAGAGGUCAUCGGAAUUCCUUGUGUAGCGGUGAAAUGCGUAGAUAUAAGGAAGAACACCAGUGGCGAAGGCGGAUGACUGGACGGCAACUGACGGUGAGGCGCGAAAGCGUGGGGAGCAAACAGGAUUAGAUACCCGAGUA